AUUGAACGCUGGCGGCAGGCUUAACACAUGCAAGUCGAGCGGGGUGAUGGUGCUUGCACUAUCACUUAGCGGCGGACGGGUGAGUAAUGCUUAGGAAUCUGCCUAUUAGUGGGGGACAACAUCUCGAAAGGGAUGCUAAUACCGCAUACGUCCUACGGGAGAAAGCAGGGGAUCUCUUGUGACCUUGCGCUAACAGAUGGGCCUAAGUCGGAUUAGCUAGUUGGUGGGGUAAAGGCCUACCAAGGCGACGAUCUGUAGCGGGUCUGGGAGGAUGAUCCGCCACACUGGGACUGAGACACGGCCCAGACUCCUACGGGAGGCAGCAGUGGGGAAUAUUGGACAAUGGGGGGAACCCUGAUCCAGCCAUGCCGCGUGUGUGAAGAAGGCCUUAUGGUUGUAAAGCACUUUAAGCGAGGAGGAGGCUCUUUUGGUUAAUACCCUAGAUGAGUGGACGUUACUCGCAGAAUAAGCACCGGCUAACUCUGUGCCAGCCGCCGCCGUAA
rnacentral:rRNA from 1 species